CAGAGAAUAGUUUAAUUAAAAAUUUUAAUUUUGGAGAUUAAAGAUAGGAAGUUUUCCUUUCUCUGA
rnacentral:tRNA from 1 species